AUCAAGGAUUAAUUCAAAACUCAUACAAUCAAAAUCAGAACUUGCUUAGUGGGGGUAUAGCUCAGUUGGUAGAGCGCCUGCCUUGCACGCAGGAAGUCAGCGGUUCGAGUCCGCUUACCUCC
rnacentral:tRNA from 1 species